rnacentral:lncRNA from 1 species
CCUUCUGUUGGGAUUCUGAGGUAGCACUAGUGGUAAAGAACCCACCUGCCAAAAUAGGAGACAUAAGAGAUACUGGUUUAUUCCCUGCGUCAGGAUGAUCCCUUAGAGGAGGGCAUUGCAACCCACUCCAGUAUUCUUGCCUGGAGAACCCAUGGACCGAGGAGCCUGGCAAGCUAGUCCGUGGGGUCAGACAGAGUCAGACAUGACUGAAGCGACUUAGUACCCUUCACAUUGGUGUUCUAGGUUGUUUCUGGUUUUUGAUCUGGCUGUUAUGAGGUCCACAUUCUUUUCCAACCUGGAAAACUGGCAGGCUGCCAGUUCCAAUGAACUUUGAAUGAACUUCUGUGGAAUGCAUUUAAAGCAUGGGGAGCUGCAUUCUCUGACCUCUUUUUUAUUUUGUUUUUAUCAACAGCAAUGUAUUUACUGCUUUGGGAGUAAACAGAAGUNNNNNNNNNNNNNNNNNNNNNNNNNNNNNNNNNNNNNNNNNNNNNNNNNNNNNNNNNNNNNNNNNNNNNNNNNNNNNNNNNNNNNNNNNNNNNNNNNNNCAUCCCAUCCCUCUUGAGACUCCCUCCUCCCCCCACCAUCCCAUCCCAAGGAAUUAACAACAUGGAGAGAGACAGAGGUGAGUGCCUGUCAUUUUCCCAAGGGCUGGUUUCCAGAAUUCUAGGAGCUGAGCCAUCGACACUCCAGACAGUGACACACAUCUGGGCCCCUCAUGUCCUUUGAAAAGGACAAGUUUCCUGUGGCCAAUCUCGUAUUCAAGAUAGACAAGAGACUUUACCAGCUGCGAGUUUGGAGUGUUUCCGAUGGGCUCAGCACCGUGUUAAGCUUUUUAAUACGUGUUCAUCCUCUUUACUCUUCCCUGGAAUCCUAUUAUGUCAUUAUGAUCGGUUCCACUUUGCAGAUGAAAAAAACGGAGGCUCAGAGAGGUGGUGUAGUUCAUCGAAGGUCACACAGACUCUACGUAAGGGAGUUGGGAAUCAGACUCAAGUGGCGGCUUUUUCUGUGUCCCUACUUUGCUGGAGCUGCGGGGUCAUGGGGUCACCUGCUGGGGACCGUGGCUACCUGUCACUGUUAUCAGCCUGGCCUGAAUGUUGGAACUGACAGCAGGAAAGCAGGGCCAGCUUACGGGAAGCCGAGGAAAGCCAGCUACUUCUUUCUCCACUCUGAGGAAAAGCCAAGGAUGGACAUGUGUCCGAUCCCAGCUAAACAGAUAUGUCGUCUUCCCUGGGACUUCAAAUAUUUAGGCUUUGGCUGGGGGCAUGAAGGUGGCUGGAGAAUGUGUCGCUGGAGGCUGAUCCAGACAGCUCAUGGGCAAGUCGAAGCCGGGGUCCCCCAUACUUUCUUCCACAGGGCUGCUUCCUGCUUUGAUUUAUUUACACGAGAGCUUGUAAACUGAACACCGUCAAGAUAAGUGCCUGAAAUAUGUCAGGUGGUGGGUGAAAGACAAGAAGGAAAGACUGGGCCUGGGAACAGGNNNNAUGGAGAACAGUAUGGAGGUUCCUUAAAAAUCUAAAAAUAGAGCUACCAUAUAACCCUGCCAUCCCACUUCUGGGCAUGGAAAGUAAAUUAGUCCCUCGGUCAUGUCUGACUCUUUGAGACCCGUAGCCUGCCAGGCUUCUCUGUCUAUGGGAUUCUGCAGGCAAGAAUAGUGGAGUAGGUAGCCAUUCCCCUUUCCAGGGAAUCCUCUCAACCCACAGAUCGAACCUGGGUGUCCUGCAUCGCAGAUAGACUCUUGGCCAUCUGAGCCACCAGGGAAGCCGUAUUCCUGGGCAUGUGUCUGGAGAAGAACAUGAUCUGUGAAGAUACACGCACUGCAUCGUUCAUAGUAGCACUGUUUACAGCAGCCCAGAUGUGGACGCACUCUAAACGUCCAUCAAUAGGGUAACGGAUAAAGAAGUGGUGCAUACAUACAGCGGAAUGUUAGCCAUGAAAAAGAACGAAAUAAUGCCAUUUUCAGCAAUAUGGAUGGACUUAGAGAGUGUCAUGCUGAGAGAACUAAGUCAGAGAAGGAGAAAUAUGACACCCUUAAACGUGGAGUCUGAAAAGAAAUUAACAGACUUGCAGACUUCAAG